AGUGAACGCUGGCGGUAGGCCUAACACAUGCAAGUCGAACGGCAGCACAGUAAGAGCUUGCUCUUACGGGUGGCGAGUGGCGGACGGGUGAGGAAUACAUCGGAAUCUACUUUUUCGUGGGGGAUAACGUAGGGAAACUUACGCUAAUACCGCAUACGACCUACGGGUGAAAGCAGGGGAUCUUCGGACCUUGCGCGAUUGAAUGAGCCGAUGUCGGAUUAGCUAGUUGGCGGGGUAAAGGCCCACAAAGGCGACGAUCCGUAGCUGGUCUGAGAGGAUGAUCAGCCACACUGGAACUGAGACACGGUCCAGACUCCUACGGGAGGCAGCAGUGGGGAAUAUAGGACAAUGGGCGCAAGCCUGAUCCAGCCAUACCGCGUGGGUGAAGAAGGCCUUCGGGUUGUAAAGCCCUUUUGUUGGGAAAGAAAAGCAGCAGGUUAAUACCCCGCUGUUCUGACGGUACCCAAAGAAUAAGCACCGGCUAACUUCGUG
rnacentral:rRNA from 1 species